GCGCGGACCCACUCGCUCACCGCCAAACCCGCGGGCACCCCCAACGAUGCUUCUUCGCCUCCGUCUACAACUCGGCAGGCGCGGCACCGACUCCGCUUCGGAAAACCGACGGCCACCCACCGACCUCUCUCCUCGCAGAGCUCCCCUAUAAAACCACCGGACCCCUGCCCUCUUCUUCUUCAUAGGCGCUUUGCCCUUUCUCUCUCCUAGUCUCCUUUCCCCUUCUGGUUCUGUGGCGCGUCAGGUAAGUCGUAGGUAAGGAGCAGUUAGUUUCGAUCUCACGUUGUUUCCUCUGUUCUUCGAUUUGUCGAUCAGGUGCGUGGGCUAGGCUGAUAGAUCGCUCCCUUCUCUUUGUGGCGCCUGAUCCGUUCGAUUCGAUGUCUAGGGUUUGUGCAGUUGUUUCGAUUCGAUUUCUGUUCGUUAUGGUGGAAUGGAGUGGUCAGUUCAGAUUGAUUGGUAGCUUGGACAUCUAUGGCAUAUGAUUGGAACUGGAUAAAUUGAAGUGCGUGGUUUUGAUUUGCCCCUGCCCGGCCUACAUGGUGACUAAUCUGUUCGGUCGAAGGUUGUUGGUUAGCUGCUGCAUAUGUCUUGCUUAGGAUGCUAACUUUUAUGUUUAAUGAAACCCAGCACCUGUUGCUUGUUAUAGACGACAAUUGACUGCUCAGGAUUAUGCAAUUUUUGCUUCUGAUUGUAUAUUCCUUCGAUGUGUGAGAAGAUUUUGACAGUAUAGGCAAUGAUUUCUUAGGUCAAUACAGAAAUUCGACAGAGUUAUGGUGUAACAUGUUUGUUUUGAGCAAAGCAAUGAUAACCAGAUUAUUUGUAAGCUGUUGCAAUUAAGGGUCAUGUCCUGAAGUCGGUGGUUUAAGAUAAGUUGAUUUCUCUGGCAGUGAGAGCAGUUCAUUUAGAACAAUUGACAUGAUUAUGGAGAUGAUUCAAUAGUUCUCUUCUUCAGUAUCAGUUUUCAGUCAGUUCAAUUUGGAGUUUUCAUUUAUGGGUGCAAAGUUUCAUUUACUCUUGAGGAUAAUCUGCUGCUAGCUCAUGGUACUGAGAUUGUAGAAGGAUUCAUGAGUUAGUGUCCAAUUUGGUUUGCUGCAGCUCUUCAUUUCUCUGGUGGUACCUUAAGGCCUACUGUCUGAUUUUGGGAUAUUGAUUUGGCCUGGAUUGUUAUCUCCAAGGACAUAUUCUUCAGUUUUGGAUUUUACUAGUUUUGGCUUCUGUCAUUUCAUCGUUUUCUAGAUUGGGGCCUGAUCCAAGGGUCAAAGGGGUCUUUAGUUUUUUUUAGCUCAGUAGUUCUGUAAUUGUAAUUUAUGUUCUGGAGUGUGUAUGAUUUGAAGUAAGCAUCUUAUAUAUGUCAGAGCUGUAAUAUAGAAUAACUUUUUGUAACCCUUAUGCAGUAUUUGCAGUAUCAUGUUUAGUAUGAGUUAUAUUUGCGACUUAUCUCUUUUAUGGAGUAACCCUCAUGUACAUUUGUUUCCCUCAUUUUAAUCUCUUUGUGUCAGAGUCUCAUACUAGGUUUAUUUUGGUGAACUGUAGAGGGGGCCUUUGAAAGGUACAAAAUGGCGUAAUGUUCCAUUUUUGCUUGGUAGAGGACUAAGUUUAAAAGUUAGACAUGUGUACAUGUUUUAAGCAUAAUGCACUUGAAUGGAAUUAACACAAGUGGCCCCUUAAGUUGAGGCACAUGCAGAACUACAGAACUACUAUUUCUGUUGGUUAAUUAUGUUUCUGGAAAAUACUAUACCUUUUGCUGUGCACAUUAUCGGAAACCCUUUUGCUGACUAGUUUGUUGAUAUCCGUUCCCAUGAUCAGCCUCUUGCACGAAUGCUGCUUAUUCAUACUGGUACAUUUUUGUUUAUUAUUUGAGUAUAGUUAUUAUGCCAUUUGUGCUAUCUCAUGCUAUUGGUUUUGAAAAUGCUGUUCAUCCUCACUUGGGUAGUGGCCCUUCAGUCUUUUAUUUGGUAAAUUCUUAACUAGGGUCAGAAGUGCAAUAUGGUUGAGUGAGCUACAUGUUUGUUACAUUCAGAUCAGUAGAGAAUUAACUUUAUCGUGUUUUUUGUUUGAUGUGUAAAAGCUGUGAUUAUAUAGCAUAAUGUUUUUGUCAAAUCUUUUAAGAUUAUAAAAAAUCUGUUGCUCUUGAUCAAGCGAACAUAAAACAUCCUAUUGUCUGAAGUGAUUCAAAACUGCAUGAUGCCCAACUAGGGCUGUAUGCUGAAUUUCCUCUCUUCUUGCAAUUUAUUUGUUAUUCCAGGUUGAAAUACUCAUAGAAGUAUGUUCUUUAAUUUUGACCAUGUUCUUGUUUUCUUUCUUCUUGCCAAUUAUUAUUUAUUUUCCUCCUAGAUUGAAAUAAUAAUACAAGUAUUGUUCUUUAAUUUGAUCAUGCUGUUGCUGUGGUUCGUAGUAUAUUGUAUCACAAGUUGUUCUAGAAUUACAUGCUUCAUAUUGCAUUCUGAGCGCUUUCUUGUUGUAUUGAAAUGCGAUCUGUCUAGGAUAAUGUUCUGUUGCAAAAUCACACUAAUUCCCUAUUUUCAUUGUUUUGUAUAGUCAUUUUAGUAGAUACAAUCACAGAGCAUUUCGAAGGUACAAAGUGCAUGUCUCUCAUCCGUUCUAUGUUGCAUAUUUCUGACAUUUGAUGAUCUAUAUGUCUAUGCCUUCUGACUUAGGUGUUAGUACAUGGUUAAUAGGAAAGUGCAUUUUUAUGUAUUGUGAUCGUGGAAAUUAGUUUGAAUAAAUAAAAUUAUGUGGAAUAUAUAAGAAUGGCUAUACAUAAUUUGUUGUUUUAACACCAUUUUGUUUGGUUCAUUCAUUGAAUUAGAUUAUAUAUAUCCUUGCUAUAUUUUGUCCUUCAAGUGGUAAUUCACUGUGACUUGAAUAUUGACAUUUAAGCAACAAAAUUCGUUUGCAAUCUUAAAAUAUAUAUUUAACUCCCACAUUAAUAUGUUUAGUUCUUUGAACUUUAAGGUUUCGUGGCAGAUUGUAGGAAUUGUACCAGCUGUACCGAAGUAAGCUUUCAGGGUUUUCUAUAUAUGCACUUCUCGUAUUAUGUGGUUAUUAAAUCCCCCCUCCCCCCGGUACAGACCAUAGUUUUUGUUAUGUGAGCCUACAAUUAUUUGUUUUAUAUUUUUCAGAAAUAUUUUUACUGUUCCAUAUUAUCCUAUCAACUUGUUGUUCCCAACCUGAACUUUCUGAGUUGUGUGUUCUUUAAUAGAUUAGUUGCUUCCUCCGUUAUGUGCCUGAUAAUUACUUCUCCUUUCAUAAUUAUUUUAGUACUUACAGCUUUGAAGAUAGAUUUUAUCAGUACCAGUUCAUUCACAAGUAGGUUUGUUGCACCGGUUACCAUUGAUACUACUAGAUUAAGUCCAUGUUUUAAAAAACGCUGUGUGUUGUGCGUGCGUUAGCCUAUGGUUUAGAGUUUUGGAAGUUUAAACGUAGAUUAAACGUUUUUUGGUUUUUUUAGUUUUUGGGCAAAAUCAGGAGUAAUAACACAACUAGAAGUGAUAAUAGUGACCAUACCUCUUGCUGCACACUUGUUUUUGACAUCAUUUCCUUUUCUCCUUGGUUUCUUGCAUUCAACAGCAACUAACAAUCAAAGAGAGACAAGUUAAUAAUAUGAAAACAGAAAAAUCAAAUAGGUAAAGAAACUCAUCUAUGAGGGCAACAGGAAUUGAGUGAUUGACAUGCAGAAAUCAAAAACAGAGCAUGGGAAGAGGGGAUAGGGAGCACCCGGAGAGAACGAGCGAGGAGCUACACCAGCACCGGUCUCUGCUUUGUCGACUCCUGGUCCUGCGCCGGCAGCCUUUCCUCUGUAGUUGCAAGCGACGGCCCCUGCCCUCUGUUGCCUUCGAUGGCCUCUGCGUUGGCGGCUUGCCCUCUGUUUCUUGCCGACGGGCUGCAGUGCGGGAGGUGGAGGUGGAGAGGCGGGAGGCGCAGGAGCGAGAGCGACGAGCAGGGGAUGGGAGGCGGACUGGAUUGGCGACGCCUCUCAGGUUUCUUGCCGUCGAUUUUGCCGCGGACUGCCGCUCGGGCCUGCCGGUUCUUUCCCGCGCUUCUCGGUGCCCGCCCGUGCCUCUUUCCCGCGCAGAGACUAGAUAUUCCCGCUCGGGACGGCGCCAUUAUUUUCCUCUUCCCGCGGUCCCGCCCCAGCGCCGCGCGCUUCCCAGAAGCUCGAGCCGCGCGAUUUUCUAGUGCCAAGAUGCGUUUUUUCCCGAUUCGGCACCGUUUAAUCGCUGCGGCGCGCGUUUAGACGAACGCCUAGGCGCACACAGCGUCUAAAUGAACGAAUACCCCUUAAACGAAAUGUUAGGGUGACGUUUAGCGUUUAAUCGUGAUUAAACGUAGUUUAAUAACGUUUUUUAAAACAUGGGAUUAAGUAGAUCAAAUUUAAUGUUGCACUGGUUACCAUUGGUACUAGGUUAAGUAGAUCAAGAGUAGUUUUAUGAACAAUUCUUCUUCACCUCUUUCUUUACUUUUUUCCCUUGCAAGUACAACCUUUUGGAUUUUGUACACUUAGUGUAACAAUGCAUUCCUGCUGAUUUUGGUGGUGUUAUCCAAUUUCCCAUUAUUACAACUUCUGUGAAUUUGCCUGUACUGCUUGCUUUAUUCUAUUAGUUUCUGCAAACUGCUUGAUCAAUGUUCGGACCUGAUAGCCAACUUGGGGGUGACUUUGUAAUGUGAGUGAUGAAGCAUUUGCAAUUGCAUUCUUUUUUCUUUUUCUGAACAUAUGCAAAGAAUGUUAGGGUAAAAUCUGAACAUACAGUUGGAUAAUAUGUAUCAGUUGCUGGAAAACAUGCUGUAUUUUCCUUCACAUUUCUAUAUGCCAUUCUUCUCGUCAAACAUUUAUGUGAUAUUUUGGUCCCUGGUUGCUGUUCUGGGGAAAUGAAGGUUGUGCACAUUUACUACUCAGUCAACUUGAUCUAAAGAUCUUUUGAUGAUUGGUUUGAUUUGGGUCAGAGUGCGGCUAUUUUGUUGGCUUGAGUUUCAAUUUUAACACCUAAGCACUACUGUUUGAUUAGACUUCGUACUUAUUUAUCCUAAAUUAUCGUCAUGCAUGAAAGCCUAUUGAACUGGAAAUAUAUUGAUCUACUACUAAGCUUACUUGAACUGGAAAUAUUAUUGCUAUGAGCGAAUGAUGAUUAUUUCUUUUGAUGUUUCACUGUGAUUUUUUCCAUCACAAAAUGGUGGUCUGUCUAACUGUAGAAUUACUUUUGGGUACAAUAAUAUAGUCAGUGUCGAUGAGAGAAGCUAGAUGCUUGUGUUUAACUAAGUGGUUUAUUCUAUUUCUAGUCUUGUGAACCAUCAUCUGUAGAGAAACUAAAUGAUUGUGUUUACCUUUGUGGUUUAUUCUAAUUUCUAGUCUUGUGACCAUCAUCUGUCAGUUCAAAAGGUUUUUGUUGUGUUUGUCUCUGUAAAAUACUCACAUCAGAAAGACUAGACUAGUGCCAUUGCUUUUGUAAAAUACUCAUAUUUUCAUUGAACUGGUGUGAGGUCAACUAUUAUGAUGAUACAUUUCCUGAAGUUAGUAAUGCAAUUUUGGUGCUCGUGUCUUCUUGUAAUAACAUUGUAAUGUCUUUGUGCCAUUAUUCACAUUCUGGCUAAUUUGAGUACUAGUAAAUAGUUGGUUCGCGUAUGUCCGAUUGUCUUACGUGCUGAUUGUUGCAUUUGCUUGGGCAUGUCAUAGUUCAAUUACCUGGUUUUACAAUUUCUAGACUAGUCCUGAAGUAAAUAGCACUUUAUACAAUUUCCUCUUCUUCUAUAUGUAUUUUCUGACUGUAGUGAUGAUUGGACGUGGUGAAGUUGCAUUCGUUCUGGUGCUGUUGGUAUGAUUUAGGGGCGCUGGGAUUGGAACAAAAAAUCAUUGCCAUUAAUCAAGAUAUGUAACUACCUGAAGCUCAUCAGAAGGCACUUUGUUUUGAUGAUAGAAGGAAAACAGAGACGGAGAAGAAGAGAAAAUGAACUACUGUGCUUAGCUAAGAUGGUUAUAUAUAUGGACUGAGAUCACAGCUUCAGCUUACCUAAGUAGAUUGACCGUGACCACAAAUCCUAACUUUAAUCCUAAGAGCUACACAACCUAAAAACGAGGUAUAGUUUUCUGGACUAUCUUUUGUUACAUACAUAUACACAGCCUGUGCUUUGCCUUUUUGUAUUUGAUCAGGUUUACUCAAUCAAUGUUCCUACCACGUAUCGCCUCUACUAUUAUUGUCUCGACCUUGGUUCUAUCUCAAUGGACAAAAUAAAAUUGGUGUUAAUCAAAUACAUGCUAUAUCAACCACUGCUACACUAGAUACAUAAUGCAAGCAUAAUGGAUGUAUUUGAAAAUUUGUAGCUAAGCUGAUCAACAUUUCUCAAGAGUUGAAAAGCUUCAGUUGCAUGAUCAACAUUUCCCAAGUUGACAGUGCUCCCUCGAUGAAGGGCAUGUGGUUUUCUAUGUGCUUUUGCAGGAUUACAUCCCCACUGUCUUCAGUGCCAAUGUCUCGGUGGAUGGGAGCACUGUCAACUCGGGCCUCUGGGACACAGCAGGUGAGCGUGAUCAGAUUACAGCAGAUUGAGGCAGAGGAUCACAGCAGAUUGAGGCCUCUUUGCUACAGGGGUGUGGAUGUGUUCAUCCUCUCCUCUCUGGUCAGCAGGAAAAGCUGUGAGAAUGUCUUGAAGAAGUUCAGUGUCCAAUCCAACAUGGGGUUAUCUACAGGCACAACAUUUCCAUCUGCAGUACACCAUGUAUUGUUUCUCGCCGCAGAUACUUGCCUGCAGGGUGCGCCAUCAUGAGCACAGCAAGCAGGUUGAGUUAGAUGAACCAUACAAAUGAUCGAGUGGAGAUUGGAUCGUCCCAAUUUUAGACAUAUACCUUUUAUGAGGCGACAUGCUAACUAGAUAUUUAAUUGAACUCGAGAUGUAGACUACUUUAGCCCACGUCAUUUUUUUUCUUCAUCAAAACAUGUCUCUACCUAAUUCUUCCUAAUUUUCUUUUCCAGUCUGGUGUCAGUUAGUAUGGGUUACUCACUUGAGAAUCGACCCUGCCUGCUCUGUGCUUGAUUUUGACCGUUGAUGGAAGAUCCGACAGUGGAUAAAUAGCAGUGACGUUGCCCAAUCUCGUGCUCGAGCCGAUGGUGCUGAUUUCGUUCGUUAGAGAUUACUUAAACCAGGGUGUGGGUGCAGCGUCGAAGAAGAGGUUGCGCUAGGCAUGGGCCUUGCAUAUGUACUUAACCAAUUACUCUAUCCAAUAUUCAAACUCAAGCUGCCAUUUUUGCUGUGAUUUACAUUCUGUCUACAAACUCUACCUAUUGAUGCUUCAUGCAUCACAGGUGCCUGAUUGGCUGCCAUGUUCAACUUCAUGAACUUCACCAAUUGCUGCUGCUUU